AUGGAGCCGAUAAGCGCGCCGCUUGCCUCGGGACCGGAUGCCAGCUCUCCGCAGCACUCUAAACGGGAUGUCUCUCCUUUCUCCGGCGGCGCAUCGCUGAAACCCAACCAAGUGAGCGAGACGUCUCUGUACGGUGUGCCCAUCGUGUCUCUGGUCAUAGACGGUCAGGAGCGGCUGUGUCUGGCCCAAAUCUCCAACACUCUCCUUAAGAGCUACAGCUACAACGAAAUUCACAACCGGCGCGUCGCUCUCGGUAUCACGUGCGUGCAGUGCACACCGGUUCAGUUGGAGAUCCUGAGGCGCGCCGGUGCCAUGCCCAUUUCCUCGCGCCGCUGCGGGAUGAUCACCAAACGGGAGGCAGAAAGGCUGUGCAAGUCGUUUCUGGGCGCUCACUCGCCGCCAAAGCUGCCGGAGAACUUCGCGUUCGACGUCUCGCACGAAUGCGCGUGGGGCUGCAGAGGCAACUUUAUCCCAGCCAGGUAUAACAGCUCACGCGCCAAGUGCAUCAAGUGCUCGUACUGCAGCAUGUACUUCUCUCCGAACAAGUUCAUAUUCCACUCCCACCGCACGCCCGAGUCCAAAUAUACACAGCCAGACGCAGCGAAUUUUAAUUCCUGGAGGCGCCACCUGAAACUUGCGGACAAGCACGUGCCCGAUGACAUCUCUCACGCUUGGGAGGACGUGAAGGCCAUGUUCAAUGGGGGCAGCAGGAAAAGGACGAUGCCCGGAAGCGGGUGCGAGAUGUCGCCUCUCAAAACACAAGGCCCGGGCCGUGUCAGGCAGGCCGCUUCUCCGGAAAUCCCGCACAAAACCCUACGCUGCGACGACGAGCGCGCGAAUCUCGGCCUACCCAAUGGCGCGCGCAAUUACCCGGUCAUUCCGGUGCCCAGCAAAAGCUUUGGCAUGCUUCAGAAAAUCCCACCACCCCUCUUCCCUCAUCCGUACGGUUUCUCCCCGUUCGGUUUGUGCCAGAAGAAAGACGACGGCACGAACGAGCAAAACAAGACCGGCGUACCGGGUGUGUUUUGGGCAGGCACGAAGGACAGCCUGUAUCCGUCGUUCCCCAUGUUCUGGCCCACGACGGGCGCACUGCCCCUGCCGCCCUAUCCGCACGCACAGCAAAAACCGCACGAGCUCACCGGAAGCCGCCAGAGUGAGGCAGAUGUUGCCGAGCACGAGCGUCCAAGAAGCAUCACUCCCAGAGACACCGAGCGCUGCUCGAGCUCACAGUCUCUCGAGGACAAAUCCGCCGACGAGCUGAGGUCGACUGAGGGUCACGCGACAUCUCCACCACGGAAGUCUAGCUACGUUUCCGCGUUCAGGCCCGUCAUAAAGGACGCAGAGAGCAUAGCCAAGCUCUACGGCAACCGGGACGCGUACGCGGGGCCACCCGCGGGUCACCUGUCCCCGGACUUUGUCAGCGAGACUUCAAGCUACAGGUCUGCUUCACCGGAAGCCGACAGCGGAGGAGAACCGGAAGUGGACGUGGAGUCCAACCGGGAGACACAUGAUGACGACGAGGAGUCCGUUCAGCUAUCUGUGGAGGACCGGCAGAGUCCAUUGAGGCAGAUCAUGUCCCGGGAGGGUCACGGAGAAGAAGUGAGGGAAAGCAGAGAGGAAGAGGAGGCGGAGGAGGAAGAAGAGGACAGACACGAGGACACGGAUGAAGACAGGCUGAGUGACAGAGCGCCGAAAUGUAACGACACUCCAACAUAUGAUGUGUGUGCUGCUGAAAAGGACGCAGGGCUUUCACUGAACUCUCCGCCUGUUCCAGGUCCUAAAUAUCCUCCAGUCCAGGAAUCACACAGUAAAACCUUCUCCCUUAUAUAUUCCCUCGUAUUACACAAUACAGCCUACAUGGUAUCUAGAUUAUCACUUAGCACUGCAAAUGUAGUUGCUGAUGCGUGUUAUAUAGCUUAUAACACAAUCUUAGGUCUGUAUUAUUAUUCAUUUGGUGCCACCAGAUUCACACAGAUUCAGUCAUGCUGUUGUGCUUGAGGAUGAUUGGGAAUCGCAGAAAUCUCGUCACGACCAAGUGAGCGUUUCUAAAGAAACUGAGCUUGAAGGUGCAUCGAGGACUGAUGGCAGAUUGCAGUUAAUUGAAAAAGAUAUCGAGCACAUGGCGAAAGGUGAGGGUUUCAUAUAAUGCAUUUUAAUAUAAUUCCUAUUAAUAAUAUGCUUUUUUUUUGGUAACAUGUAAUCAGCGUAGGUUACAUUUGGGUAAUGCCGUUAUUUUGUCUAUAUAGGCCUAUUUAUUAUUUUCGUUGAUGCACAUAAUAAUAUAUUUCUAAUAAAUAUUUAAAACGUUCAAAAUAAACGAGUUUGCAUUGGGGGAAAAAAAAAUCUGUAGAAUCCAGGCCAAAGAUUUCAAAGUCAUUGUCGUUUUUCCACAGAGGUUUGUUCCAUGUCCCACGGUGAUUUAAAAAUAAAAAUAUUAUUAAAUGUCUAGUGUUUUUGUGUUAUUUUUAAGCAAAAGAGAAAAUGAAGCCAGUGUGCAUUAUUCCAAAACGCCCUUGAACUGCAUAUGCAUUAGCAGAGUCGCGUGCACACAGCCCGAGGCUGCGGGCCUCAUUAUUACCGCGAGCUCACGCGCCACAACACCGCAGCAAGCGCGCGCGCCUCCUUUCUUUAGGAACUGAUCGUUUUCCGUAAUGCAUAUUUAAAAGCAUAUAAGCGUGACAUGAAAAUGCGUUAAAAAGCUUGCUUUUAAUUAUAACACAUGAGGUUCUUUUGUUCUUUCUCCGAAGGCCAUCGCUACAGCAGUGAUAAUGGUUUAUUAAUUAAUUAGUGAUUUUUUUUUGUUGUUGUUGUUAUUGUUUUUUUUAUUAUUAUUAUUUAUUUAUUUUUCGCUCUGUCAUAGAGGAACUCCAAAAACAGCUGAUGGAGCAAAUGGAGCUUAGGAAGAAAAUGGAACGGGAGUUUCAAAACCUGAAAGGUAAUUUAGAUCAAACUGGGGUGUUUCAAGUAACACUAGAGCCUUAACUAGUUUAACUAAUGCAAUGAACUUUUUUUUUUUGAGUAGUGACUCUGUGCAUGUUGACUUUACCAGAUAAUUUUCAGGACCAGAUGAAGAGGGAGCUAUCUUAUCGAGAGGAGAUGGUGCAGCAGCUGCAAAUAGUCAGAGGUGAGCAUUGAAGUUUGGGAAAUAAAACGUUAUGACGUGUAAAAGUGACACUUGCAUAUUUUUAGUGGCAAAAACUCAAUUGAACAAAUCAUAGAGCGUCAUAAGGUGAAUAAAAACAGCAAAAAAUAUAUAUAUAUAUAUAUACUAUUUGUGUGAAAUAAAGUGAAUAAAAAUUAAAGUAAAUGAAAAUAUAUCAAGCCAAUAUAUUGCACCUAGUGGAUCCAGGAGAAUCGUUAUUUAUUUAUUCGUUAUUAUCUCACUGUGUAAUGCUGGUGAUAAUAAAGAUCUACUUGACUUGAAAACUUUAAACAAUGGUCCUAUAUUGGACAAGGCAGCUUGUACGGAAUAAAUGGCAAAUCGUUUUUAUUUCAAAACCUUUUCGGUAAUUCAGAAUUUAAUCUUUUUUUUCUUUCUUUUUUUUUUAAAAUCUAUAAUAUAAGUUACACAUCACCCUAUUAGACCUUUUAAAUUCUCUUUGUUUUCAUUAAUUAUUUUUUAUUAUUAUUUAUUUUAGACACUUUGUGCAACGAGUUGGAUCAAGAGAGAAAGGCUCGAUAUGCAAUUCAGCAGAAGCUAAAAGGUAAUUUCUGUUAAUACCCAAUAGCAAAAACUCAUAACUCAUACCUGGAGACCCUGAGCCCUAACAACAAAUAAAUGAUUUCAGUAAUAAAUAUGCAAUAAAAAUGAGAAAUAUGCAAGUGCUACUUUUCUUUCAUUCUAAUUUGCUGAUUGUGUAAUAAUGUAUGAAUAAUAAAAAAGAGCAAAAUGAGCUGGGCUGAGUUUCCCCAAAACAUCACAGAACAAACAUCAUCAUUAAAUGGUAGCAUGAGCUUCACAUUGAACUCUCAUCUCUCUCUGUGUCU